rnacentral:tRNA from 1 species
GCAGCGGUGGCAUACUGGUUAGCGCUUCGGGCGUGUAACCGGAGGGUUGCCGGUUCAAUCCCCGACCUGUAGUC